UUUAUGGAGAGUUUGAUCCUGGCUCAGGACGAACGCUGGCGGCGUGCUUAACACAUGCAAGUCGAACGGGGUUUAAGUGGAAGCUUGCGAAACUUAAACUUAGUGGCGCACGGGUGAGUAACGCGUGGAUAACCUGCCUGAUAGACUGGGAUAACAGCUGGAAACGGCUGCUAAUACCGGAUACGCU
rfam:Desulfotomaculum aeronauticum DSM 10349 genome assembly, contig: EJ44DRAFT_scaffold00030.30